GCAGAGCGCUAUCUGGUAAACCCUAGUACUCCACCGGGAACGAGAGGCAUAAGACUAGGAAUGGCCAGCUUGUUGCAGUACUUGGGUGCAAAACCAGAGGAAGGCAAGUUCUGAAUGGUUGUUUCUGGUGUUUGACUAUUGGAGGUUGGAGGUCUGAGCUUUGGAUCUCAACUCUCUGACUCUGGAAAGAAGAAACAUUUGAGCGAAAACGUCUGCGUUCCCCUCAGUAAAUGUUAAACAAUGGAUGAAUUCUGCAAUACAUAGUUCUAUUGUUUUUGCAGUCACUGCUUUCUCCUGAUUUUUAUUUUUUUCCUUUAUGAGUUUAAAUUCUAGACAUUGUUCUCUUCCCUUGGGUCAGUUUAAGACAAUUCUCCU